rnacentral:rRNA from 1 species
AGUGAACGCUGGCGGUAGGCCUAACACAUGCAAGUCGAACGGCAGCACAGUAAGAGCUUGCUCUUACGGGUGGCGAGUGGCGGACGGGUGAGGAAUACAUCGGAAUCUACUUUUUCGUGGGGGGUAACGUAGGGAAACUUACGCUAAUACCGCAUACGACCUACGGGUGAAAGCAGGGGAGCUUCGGACCUUGCGCGAUUGAAUGAGCCGAUGUCGGAUUAGCUAGUUGGCGGGGUAAAGGACCACCAAGGCGACGAUCCGUAGCUGGUCUGAGAGGAUGACCAGCCACAAUGAGACUGAGACACGGGCCAGACUCCUACGGGAGGCAGCAGUGGGGAAUAUUGGACAAUGGGCGCAAGCCUGAUCCAGCUAUACCGCGUGGGUGAAGAAGGCCUUCGGGUUGUAAAGCCCUUUUGUUGGGAAAGAAAAGCAGCAGGUUAAUACCCCGCUGUUCUGACGGUACCCAAAGAAUAAGCACCGGCUAACUUCGUG